UGGUAACGGCUCACCAAGGCGACGAUCAGUAGCUGGUCUGAGAGGAUGAUCAGCCACAUUGGGACUGAGACACGGCCCAAACUCCUACGGGAGGCAGCAGUGGCGAAUAUUGGACAAUGGGCGCAAGCCUGAUCCAGCCAUGCCGCCUGA
rnacentral:rRNA from 1 species